rnacentral:rRNA from 1 species
GAUGAACGCUAGCGGGAGGCCUAACACAUGCAAGCCGAGCGGUAUUUGUUCUUCGGAACAGAGAGAGCGGCGCACGGGUGCGGAACACGUGUGCAACCUGCCUUUAUCUGGGGGAUAGCCUUUCGAAAGGAAGAUUAAUACCCCAUAAUAUAUUGAGUGGCAUCAUUUGAUAUUGAAAACUCCGGUGGAUAGAGAUGGGCACGCGCAAGAUUAGAUAGUUGGUGAGGUAACGGCUCACCAAGUCAAUGAUCUUUAGGGGGCCUGAGAGGGUGAUCCCCCACACUGGUACUGAGACACGGACCAGACUCCUACGGGAAGCAGCAGUGAGGAAUAUUGGACAAUGGGUUAGCGCCUGAUCCAGCCAUCCCGCGUGAAGGACGACGGCCCUAUGGGUUGUAAACUUCUUUUGUAUAGGGAUAAACCUACUCUCGUGAGAGUAGCUGAAGGUACUAUACGAAUAAGCACCGGCUAACUCCGUG